rnacentral:rRNA from 1 species
ACACUCCUACGGGAGGCAGCAGUGGGGAAUAUUGGACAAUGGGCGCAAGCCUGAUCCAGCCAUGCCGCGUGAGUGAUGAAGGCCCUAGGGUUGUAAAGCUCUUUCACCGGUGAAGAUAAUGACGGUAACCGGAGAAGAAGCCCCGGCUAACUUCGUGCCAGCAGCCGCGGUAAUACGAAGGGGGCUAGCGUUGUUCGGAUUUACUGGGCGUAAAGCGCACGUAGGCGGACUAUUAAGUCAGGGGUGAAAUCCCGGGGCUCAACCCCGGAACUGCCUUUGAUACUGGUAGUCUUGAGUUCGAGAGAGGUGAGUGGAAUUCCGAGUGGAGAGGUGAAAUUCGUAGAUAUUCGGAGGAACACCAGUGGCGAAGGCGGCUCACUGGCUCGAUACUGACGCUGAGGUGCGAAAGCGUGGGGAGCAAACAGGAUUAGAAACCCCAGUAGUCCC